CCUACGGGAGGCAGCAGUGGGGAAUAUUGCACAAUGGGGGAAACCCUGAUGCAGCGACGCCGCGUGAGCGAUGAAGUAUUUCGGUAUGUAAAGCUCUAUCAGCAGGGAAGAAAAUGACGGUACCUGACUAAGAAGCCCCGGCUAACUACGUGCCAGCAGCCGCGGUAAUACGUAGGGGGCAAGCGUUAUCCGGAUUUACUGGGUGGAAAGGGAGCGUAGACGGUCCUGCAAGCCAGAUGUGAAAGCCCGGGGCUCAACCCCGGGACUGCAUUUGGAACUGUAAGGCUAGAGUGUCGGAGAGGCAGGCGGAAUUCCUAGGGUAGCGGUGAAAUGCUGAGAUAUUAGGAGGAACACCAGUGGCGAAGGCGGCCUGCUGGACGAUGACUGACGUUGAGGCUCGAAAGCGUGGGGAGCAAACAGGAUUAGAUACCCGAGUAGUC
rnacentral:rRNA from 1 species